rnacentral:rRNA from 1 species
CCUACGGGGGGCAGCAGUGGGGAAUAUUGGACAAUGGGCGAAAGCCUGAUCCAGCCAUGCCGCGUGUGUGAAGAAGGCCUUCGGGUUGUAAAGCACUUUCAGUGGGGAAGAAAGCCUUGGGGCUAAUACCCUCGAGGAAGGACAUCACCCACAGAAGAAGCACCGGCUAACUCCGUGCCAGCAGCCGCGGUAAUACGGAGGGUGCGAGCGUUAAUCGGAAUUACUGGGCGUAAAGCGCGCGUAGGCGGUCUGAUAAGCCGGUUGUGAAAGCCCCGGGCUCAACCUGGGAACGGCAUCCGGAACUGUCAGGCUAGAGGGCAGGAGAGGAAAGUAGAAUUCCCGGUGUAGCGGUGAAAUGCGUAGAGAUCGGGAGGAAUACCAGUGGCGAAGGCGGCCUUCUGGACUGACACUGACGCUGAGGUGCGAAAGCGUGGGUAGCAAACAGGAUUAGAUACCCGUGUAGUC